GAUGAACGCUAGCUACAGGCUUAACACAUGCAAGUCGAGGGGAAACGAUAUUGGAAGCUUGCUUCCGAUAGGCGUCGACCGGCGCACGGGUGAGUAACGCGUAUCCAACCUGCCCAUCACUUGGGGAUAACCUUGCGAAAGUAAGACUAAUACCCAAUGACGUCUCUAGAAGACAUCUGAAAGAGAUUAAAGAUUUAUCGGUGAUGGAUGGGGAUGCGUCUGAUUAGCUUGUUGGCGGGGUAACGGCCCACCAAGGCGACGAUCAGUAGGGGUGCUGAGAGGAAGAUCCCCCACAUGGGAACGGAGACACGGUCCAAACUCCUACGGGAGGCAGCAGUGAGGAAUAUUGGUCAAUGGGCAGGAGCCUGAACCAGCCAAGUAGCGUGCAGGAUGACGGCCCUAUGGGUUGUAAACUGCUUUUAUAAGGGAAUAAAGUGAGCCACGUGUGGCUUUUUGCAUGUACCUUAUGAAUAAGGACCGGCUAAUUCCGUGCCAGCAGCCGCCGUAA
rnacentral:rRNA from 1 species